AGUGAACGCUGGCGGUAGGCCUAACACAUGCAAGUCGAACGGCAGCACAGUAAGAGCUUGCUCUUACGGGUGGCGAGUGGCGGACGGGUGAGGAAUACAUCGGAAUCUACUUUUUCGUGGGGGAUAACGUAGGGAAACUUACGCUAAUACCGCAUACGACCUACGGGUGAAAGCAGGGGAUCUUCGGACCUUGCGCGAUUGAAUGAGCCGAUGUCGGAUUAGCUAGUUGGCGGGGUAAAGGCCCACCAAGGCGACGAUCCGUAGCUGGUCUGAGAGGAUGAUCAGCCACCCUGGAACUGAGACACGGUCCAGACUCCUACGGGAGGCAGAAGAGGGGAAUAUUGGACAAUGGGCGCAAGCCUGAUCCAGCCAUACCGCGUGGGUGAAGAAGGCCUUCGGGUUGUAAAGCCCUUUUGUUGGGAAAGAAAAGCAGCAGGUUAAUACCCCGCUGUUCUGACGGUACCCAAAGAAUAAGCACCGGCUAACUUCGUG
rnacentral:rRNA from 1 species